GUAAGGAAUAUUGGGCAAUGGAGGCAACUCUGACCCAGCCAUGCCGCGUGAAGGAUUGACGGCCCUCUGGGUUGUAAACUUCUUUUGUACGGGAAUAACCCUCCGAACGUGUUCGGAGCUGAAGGUACCGUAAGAAUAAGGAUCGGCUAACUCCGUGCCAGCAGCCGCGGUAAUACGGAGGAUCCAAGCGUUAUCCGGAUUUACUGGGUUUAAAGGGUGCGUAGGCGGAUUGAUAAGUCAGUGGUGAAAUCCUGCAGCUUAACUGCAGAACUGCCAUUGAUACUGCCAGUCUGGAGUAUGGUUGAGGUAGCUGGAAUGUGUCAUGUAGCGGUGAAAUGCUUAGCGAUGACACAGAACACCGACGGCGAAGGCAGGUUACCAACCCAUUACUGACGCUGAGGCACGAAAGCGUGGGGAUCAAACAGGAUUAGAAACCCUGGUAGUCC
rnacentral:rRNA from 1 species